ensembl:lncRNA
GUUUAGUGGGUAUACACUGUGCUCAAAGGUUUACUGUUACAGGGGUAAGGGGAGUAGGAACAGAGAAACAUGUUGAUGGUGGCAAUAUUAUAUAUUGUAUAUAAAUGCUAGCCUAGGGUAUGAGGUAGAGUAAGUGUACGGCAGUGCGGUGGCGGUGGGUGCAAUUGGCAGAGGGUUUCUACGGGUAGACCGGGUGGAGAGAUUACAGCAGCGUCCCAUAGCGAAGAUAGUCUGGAUUAGGAGAAAAAGAAAAAGAACAGGGUGAGUGGGUAGAGUUUGGCUGUCCAUAUGCGUAGUUGAGGAGUAGUGGGGGUGAGGAGCAAUGUUUCCACUUCCAUCAGCAAUUGGAACAUGCUACAAGGGAGAGAGAACAUUUUUGUUAGUAGACAUUUAUUUCAGAGACAGAUAAGGAGAUACCUUUGGGUAGUAGAUUUACAGUAGGCAAUAUGGCCAUUUUAUCAGUAUUAUUAUAAGCAUUAGCGAUGUGAUAUGAGAGGAGAGGGAGGGAGAGAGAGAGCGAGAGAGAGAGGGAGAGGGGCUGCCUGGCUAGGUGUAAGGUAAAUAGCAUCUGUUUACCUAUCUACCAAGUGGUCCAUGGAAAGCAUCACAGGAUUGAGAUAACUAAGAGGUGCGCCACCGGGUCUGGCAGGACAGCCUCCCUGCCGUGUCUGGCAUUGUCUCUCUCACCCACUCAGCCCCCAGGCCCAACUAAGCAGGACAGGGGCAGAGCGGGUGUGUAUCUAUUUUUUUUAUUUUUUUAAAGUCCACCAAUGGGUUUCUGAUGUUCUUAAUUGUCCCUUAAGGGUUGGCCUAGAUUCUAGGUGUAUGUUUCGGUUUUUUGACCUUUAAGUACACCUUUCUAAAGUGCCCUCAAUGUAGGUUUUGGUUUAAUUUGGUCUCACACUAGCAUCUGUUUACCUUCUACCACACAACCCUCCCCCCUUCCCCCCUUCCUAUCUCCACCCGGCCGACCUCAAGCAGAUGGGUUCCCCCUUAUGUGCCGUGGUUCUGCUUAAGGUUCCUUCCUGACUAACAGGGAGUUUUUUCUUGCCCGUGUUGCCAUUGUGCUUGCACUAAGGGGGUUUCAGGCUCUGGGCUCUGUAAAGCGCCUAGAGACAAUUGUAUUGUUAUGGCGCUAUAUAAAUAAAAU